GCUCGGGUAGCUCAAUCGGUAGAGCGUGUGGCUCUUAUUACAAGUAGCAUUUAUCACAAACCUCAAGGUUGCGGGUUCGAGUCCCGCCUCGAGCU
rnacentral:tRNA from 1 species